GGUUGCGCAGCCCGGCCUCGGGGCGAAGUCUGAGGCCGGUUAGGCUGUACUGAGGGUUUGGAUUUGCUAGGUCUGGUGUCAUACAGGUGACCCCUUUGGUAAGGUUAAUGGAUCUACUUAUUUGCUGUAGGAUUUUCAACUGCAGUCCUAAAACUCAAGAUUGCUUUUUCAUUUGGAGACAUAUAGGUGUUAUGAUUUACCACUGGGCCACUUGGGAAGCCCUAUAACUGCUCUCCCCACUUGAAUUCUGAAUAACUCUCAAGAGCCAGGUGAGAAGAGGGUGGUGCUAUAGGAGAGACCACUGGAUAUAUGCCAGAAGACUGUAUCUGCUAAUACACCCAUCCUUGUUGAAUAUUUACAGUUUUACCCAACUCAUGAGUGCCAUGGUCAAUGCCACCAAGUUCAUGGAUCUGGCAGUGAUGGGAAAAUGAAGAUGCAUUUCUUGGAGUCCAGCUAAUGGGUAAGCCAUACAGAAGAUCAGAUGAGCCAGAGGAUUCAGUGACAGCCCUAAUUUUUCUCAAAAACUGUUAGUUUAUGUGUUUGUCCCAACCUGGAGAUGUUUCAUUUCUUGAAUUUGAUCUUCUGAUAAAACAACGGUGGUACCAACACAUUCUCCUAGUAAGUGAGAGCCAUACUUGGUUCUAAAUGGUGCAUGCUGUAUUUCUAUUUGUCCUGAGUCCUAAAGAAAUGCAUUUUGUAAGCACUAUCUGAGAAGAAAUUUUUAUGGGUACAUUACAGUCUAGUAUGUGCAUUGUUAAAGGGAAAACUUGUUUCAGUGAAGUAGUUGGCAGAGAACUAUAAAUCUUAAUGGAUAGGAAAAUAUGCCUUUCCGUAAAAAGGAAAGAAAGAAACAGACACGGAAAGCAAGCAAGACACCCUGCUAAAGACUCCUCAAAAAAAUCACGCCUCUGACCAGCAUCUAGAAUGUUCAUCCUUUUCCAGUGUUUAUGAUCAGUCCACUUACAUAUUGCCAUUCUCCUCUGUGUUCUUCCAUUCUAUUUGAGAAAAUUGUCCCUUGGCUGUGCCAAAAAUUUGAGGCAAAAAUGAAAAAUGUUUUGCUUUAUUGCUAACCUGUGAAAAUGUGUUUUUUUGCCAGUGUUGUGAUGGUUGGGUUUUGCGUUUUGUUUUUUUUUUUUUUUUCCUCUUUCUCACAUGGCUCUAAUCCUGGCUGGAUAGAUCUUGACGUGCAAAUAAAAUUCCAUCCUAAAUAAGUAAAUUGUGUUUCUCAGUUGGAGGCUGGAAAACCCUAUUCCUUA